UGGCGCGCGUUGACUUGAGAUUAUUGUUGGUGUUUUUGAUGGUGGUUGCUGUGGUGAGCAGUGCAGGCAAUGCCACCACGGUUGCACCGGCCACCACUGCGGCGACCACCACGCCCGCUCCAACUAAAACUCCCGGUAUAUUAAAAACAAUCGAAAAUUUUGUUGCGGCAAUACCUGUGGGACUGGCAACAGCAUGUGAAGCUGGCGCAGAAGCAGUGAAAAGUUUCUUCACGAAUCCUUGGUGGUAGAUAUUACGGCGAUAUAGUAUUAUUUUAGGCUUUAAUUAAAGAUACGUUUUAAUUUA